rnacentral:rRNA from 1 species
GGGCGUUAAGUUGCAGGGUAUAGACCCGAAACCCGGUGAUCUAGCCAUGGGCAGGUUGAAGGUUGGGUAACACUAACUGGAGGACCGAACCGACUAAUGUUGAAAAAUUAGCGGAUGACCUGUGGCUGGGGGUGAAAGGCCAAUCAAACCGGGAGAUAGCUGGUUCUCCCCGAAAGCUAUUUAGGUAGCGCCUCGUGAAUUCAUCUCCGGGGGUAGAGCACUGUUUCGGCUAGGGGGCCAUCCCGGCUUACCAACCCGAUGCAAACUGCGAAUACCGGAGAAUGUUAUCACGGGAGACACACGGCGGGUGCUAACGUCCGUCGUGAAGAGGGAAACAACCCAGACCGCCAGCUAAGGUCCCAAAGUCAUGGUUAAGUGGGAAACGAUGUGGGAAGGCCCAGACAGCCAGGAUGUUGGCUUAGAAGCAGCCAUCAUUUAAAGAAAGCGUAAUAGCUCACUGGUCGAGUCGGCCUGCGCGGAAGAUGUAACGGGGCUAAACCAUGCACCGAAGCUGCGGCAGCGAACGUAUCACUUAAAGCGAUUCAGCGGGUUACGAUUGACGGAGCGAAGCGACGUCAAAGCGUAUACAAAGUCGAGUCGGUUUAAGGAUACGUUCGUUGGGUAGGGGAGCGUUCUGUAAGCCCGUGAAGGUGGCCUGUGAGGGUUGCUGGAGGUAUCAGAAGUGCGAAUGCUGACAUAAGUAACGAUAAAGCGGGUGAAAAGCCCGCUCGCCGGAAGACCAAGGGUUCCUGUCCAACGUUAAUCGGGGCAGGGUGAGUCGACCCCUAAGGCGAGGCCGAAAGGCGUAGUCGAUGGGAAACGGGUUAAUAUUCCCGUACUUGGUGUUACUGCGAAGGGGGGACGGAGAAGGCUAUGUUGGCCGGGCGACGGUUGUCCCGGUUUAAGCGUGUAGGUGUGUGUUCCAGGUAAAUCCGGUUCACUUUAACACUGAGGCGUGACGACGAGGCACUACGGUGCUGAAGCAACAAAUGCCCUGCUUCCAGGAAAAGCCUCUAAGCAUCAGGUAACAUCAAAUCGUACCCCAAACCGACACAGGUGGUCAGGUAGAGAAUACCAAGGCGCUUGAGAGAACUCGGGUGAAGGAACUAGGCAAAAUGGUGCCGUAACUUCGGGAGAAGGCACGCUGACACGUAGGUGA